CUUUGAAUCAAACCACCAGCCUUUUGUAGAAUCUUGCAUAUCUUGUUAUUCCAAACAUAACCUUUCAAACUGGUGUAUGUAAACAAGCUGUACAAUUACAAACUAACCUGUUGCUGUCGUUAGUAGAGAGAGAAAAGUAGCCACCUUUCAGCUGUUUUCUCUUUCACGAGAGCCUAUAAUUCCCCCACUCUAAUAUCAUACCUCUAUGGUCGCGGCAGCCAUUUUGUGGCUCGCGGUCCGAUCGUCAGAUGUCAACAAAGCAAAAGAUCGCGGAACGCCGACGAGUUCGGACAAGAUUCGGUAAGCGGAUUGAGCGUCUUGUUUGUUGAUGUCGAGUUUCAAUGAUCAACGUUACAACGCUUUAGAAAUAACAAAAUCGAGUAGUGACGGUAAAAAUUCGGAUUCUUAAAGCAUUUCCACGUGCGUGAAACAAAAGUUUUAGAAGUUGGUGAUAAUUUUACAGUGAAGCAGUGAAAACACUGAGCCGCCUCGUGACUUCGACGCUGAUCGAUGUGUCCCGAUUUGACGACAGAUGCAGCAAGAGAAGCUGCUUUGGUGAAAAUUCGGCGUAGCUGCGACUGUCAAAGUGAAAAGUGGGCCGACAUCUUGAUGAAUGUUCAACCUGGCUGCAACAACAAUUUUUCUCUGCCAGCUUACCCAUCGCUACCGAUAAUUCAGACUCCGCAAAUUAUGGUAGCUACCUUAUCCUCACCGUAGAACAUGGAGAUCGCUGCUCUGACGACAGCAACUCUCACUUACGGACGGGGGUUGGCGAUGCUGCGUCGAAGAAGAUGAAGCCAAGGAAGAAGUAGAGCGAAACGACGUAUCCAAAGGUCAAGGUGGCCAUCUAUAUCCAUCGGUUCCUUUUUCUCUUUUCACAUACAGUAUUACACGCAUCGCGGAGAUCAGAGGAGCUGCGACGAGCCCCCCGCAGUAGUUG
rnacentral:misc_RNA from 1 species